GACGUAGGGGACGAGCGUUGUCCGGAUUCAUUGGGCGUAAAGCGCGCGUAGGCGGUUACGCAAGUCGGUUGUGAAAAUCCGGGGCUCAACCCCGGACCUGCAUCCGAUACUGCGUGACUAGAGGUAGGUAGGGGAGAUCGGAAUUCCUGGUGUAGCGGUGAAAUGCGCAGAUAUCAGGAGGAACACCGGUGGCGAAGGCGGAUCUCUGGGCCGUACCUGACGCCCAGGCGCGAAAGCUAGGGGAGCGAACAGG
rnacentral:rRNA from 1 species